CCUACGGGAGGCAGCAGUCGGGAAUAUUGCGCAAUGGAGGAAACUCUGACGCAGUGACGCCGCGUAUAGGAAGAAGGUUUUCGGAUUGUAAACUAUUGUCGUGAGGGAAGAAGAUGACAGUACCUCAGGAGGAAGCUCCGGCUAACUAUGUGCCAGCAGCCGCGGUAAUACAUAGGGAGCAAGCGUUAUCCGGAAUUAUUGGGUGUAAAGGGUGCGUAGACGGGAAAUUAAGUUAGUUGUGAAAUCCCUUGGCUUAACUGAGGAACUGCAACUAAAACUGAUUUUCUUGAGUACUGGAGAGGAAAGUGGAAUUCCUAGUGUAGCGGUGAAAUGCGUAGAUAUUAGGAGGAACACCAGUGGCGAAGGCGACUUUCUGGACAGUAACUGACGUUGAGGCACGAAAGUGUGGGGAGCAAACAGGAUUAGAUACCCCAGUAG
rnacentral:rRNA from 1 species